rnacentral:rRNA from 1 species
AGGAAUAUUGGUCAAUGGGCGAGAGCCUGAACCAGCCAAGUAGCGUGAAGGAUGAAGGUCCUACGGAUUGUAAACUUCUUUUAUACGGGAAUAAAGUUUCCUACGUGUAGGAUUUUGUAUGUACCGUAUGAAUAAGCAUCGGCUAACUCCGUGCCAGCAGCCGCGGUAAUACGGAGGAUGCGAGCGUUAUCCGGAUUUAUUGGGUUUAAAGGGAGCGCAGACGGGAGAUUAAGUCAGUUGUGAAAGUUUGCGGCUCAACCGUAAAAUUGCAGUUGAUACUGGUUUCCUUGAGUGCAGUUGAGGCAGGCGGAAUUCGUGGUGUAGCGGUGAAAUGCUUAGAUAUCACGAAGAACCCCGAUUGCGAAGGCAGCUUGCUAAACUGUAACUGACGUUCAUGCUCGAAAGUGUGGGUAUCAAACAGGAUUAGAUACCCUGGUAGUCCACACGGUAAACGAUGGAUACUCGCUGUUGGCGAUAUACUGUCAGCGGCCAAGCGAAAGCAUUAAGUAUCCCACCUGGGGAGUACGCCGGCAACAGUGAAAACUCAAAGGAAUUGACGGGGGCCCGCACAAGCGGAGGAACAUGUGGUUUAAUUCGAUGAUACGCGAGGAACCUUACCCGGGCUUAAAUUGCAGACGAAUUACGAGGAAACUUGUAAGCCGCAAGGCGUCUGUGAAGGUGCUGCAUGGUUGUCGUCAGCUCGUGCCGUGAGGUGUCGGCUUAAGUGCCAUAACGAGCGCAACCCUCGUGGUCAGUUACUAACAGGUUAAGCUGAGGACUCUGGCCAGACUGCCAUCGUAAGAUGUGAGGAAGGUGGGGAUGACGUCAAAUCAGCACGGCCCUUACGUCCGGGGCUACACACGUGUUACAAUGGGAGGUACAGAAGGCUGCUACCCGGCAACGGGAUGCCAAUCCCCAAAACCUCUCUCAGUUCGGACUGGAGUCUGCAACCCGACUCCACGAAGCUGGAUUCGCUAGUAAUCGCGCAUCAGCCACGGCGCGGUGAAUACGUUCCCG